rnacentral:rRNA from 1 species
UAGAGACGAGCCCCCAGAUGAUUCUGAGACACAUAUCCAGGCCAUACGGGGCGCAGCAGCUACGAACACUGCCCUAUGUGGAACGCCACGAGGCGGGGCAUUCAGAGUGCCCAGGCAUAGCUUUGGCUGUUCAUUCGCCUAAAGAGCGAGAGAAGUAAGGGCCGGGUAAGACGGGUGCCAGCCGCCGCGGUAAUACCCGCGGCCCGAGUGGUGCUCAUUAUUAUUGAGCUUAAAGCGUCCGUAGCCGGCGUAGUAGAUCUCUGGGUAAAUCGAGCAGCUCGACUGUUCGCAUUCCGAGGAGACUGUCAGGCUCGGGACCGGGAGAGGUUAGAGGUACUCUCGGGGUAGGGGUAAAAUCCUGUAAUCCUGAGAGGACCACCAGUGGCGAAGGCGUCUCACCUAGAACGGAUCCGACGGUGAGGGACGAAGCCUAUGGGGCGCAAACGGGAUUAGAUACCCCGGUAGUCCAGGGUGUAAACGAUGCUCGCUUGGUGUCGGAGGUCGUACGUGGGCGUCCGGUGCCGGAGAGAAAUUGUUAAGCGUGCCGCUUGGGGAGUACGGUCGCGAGACUGAAACUUAAAGGAAUUGGCGGGGGAGCACCGCAACGGGAGGAGCGUGCGGUUCAAUUGGAGUCAACGCCGGGAA